rnacentral:rRNA from 1 species
GAUGAACGCUGGCGGCGUGCCUAAUACAUGCAAGUCGAGCGAACAGAUGAGGAGCUUGCUCCUCUGACGUUAGCGGCGGACGGGUGAGUAACACGUGGAUAACCUACCUAUAAGACUGGGAUAACUUCGGGAAACCGGAGCUAAUACCGGAUAAUAUAUUGAACCGCAUGGUUCAAUAGUGAAAGACGGUUUUGCUGUCACUUAUAGAUGGAUCCGCGCCGCAUUAGCUAGUUGGUAAGGUAACGGCUUACCAAGGCGACGAUGCGUAGCCGACCUGAGAGGGUGAUCGGCCACACUGGAACUGAGACACGGUCCAGACUCCUACGGGAGGCAGCAGUAGGGAAUCUUCCGCAAUGGGCGAAAGCCUGACGGAGCAACGCCGCGUGAGUGAUGAAGGUCUUCGGAUCGUAAAACUCUGUUAUUAGGGAAGAACAAAUGUGUAAGUAACUAUGCACGUCUUGACGGUACCUAAUCAGAAAGCCACGGCUAACUACGUGC